GAUGAACGCUAGCGGGAGGCCUAAUACAUGCAAGUCGAACGGUAACAGGGUAGCAAUACCGCUGACGAGUGGCGCACGGGUGAGUAACACGUACACAAUCUGCCUUAUACUGGGGCAUAGCCUCGGGAAACUGAGAUUAAUUCCCCAUAACAUUGCGAAAUGGCAUCAUUUUGCAAUUAAAGAAUUUCGGUAUAAGAUGAGUGUGCGUCUGAUUAGCUAGUUGGUGAGGUAACGGCUCACCAAGGCGACGAUCAGUAACUGGUCUGAGAGGAUGAGCAGUCACACGGGCACUGAGACACGGGCCCGACUCCUACGGGAGGCAGCAGUGGGGAAUUUUGGACAAUGGGCGCAAGCCUGAUCCAGCCAUUCCGCGUGCAGGAUGAAGGCCCUCGGGUUGUAAACUGCUUUUGUACGGAACGAAAAGGCCUGGGUUAAUACCCUGGGCUCAUGACGGUACCGUAAGAAUAAGCACCGGCUAACUACGUGCCAGCCGCCGCAGUAAGAC
rnacentral:rRNA from 1 species